UCAACGGUGAAAGAUACGCGCUA
rnacentral:snRNA from 1 species